rnacentral:rRNA from 1 species
UGCUUCCCCUUGCUUGACGAGCGGCGGACGGGUGAGUAAUGCUUAGGAAUCUGCCCAGUAGCGGGGGAUAGCCCGGGGAAACCCGGAUUAAUACCGCAUACGCCCUACGGGGGAAAGCAGGGGAUCUUCGGACCUUGCGCUAUUGGAUGAGCCUAAGUCGGAUUAGCUAGUUGGUGGGGUAAAGGCCUACCAAGGCGACGAUCCGUAGCUGGUCUGAGAGGAUGAUCAGCCACAUCGGGACUGAGACACGGCCCGAACUCCUACGGGAGGCAGCAGUGGGGAAUAUUGGACAAUGGGGGCAACCCUGAUCCAGCCAUGCCGCGUGUGUGAAGAAGGCUUUCGGGUUGUAAAGCACUUUCAGUGAGGAGGAAGGCCAAGUCGCUAAUAUCGGCUUGGAUUGACGUUACUCACAGAAGAAGCACCGGCUAACUCCGUGCCAGCAGCCGCGGUAAUACGGAGGGUGCAAGCGUUAAUCGGAAUUACUGGGCGUAAAGCGCGCGUAGGUGGUUUGUUAAGCGAGAUGUGAAAGCCCCGGGCUUAACCUGGGAACGGCAUUUCGAACUGGCAAGCUAGAGUGUGGUAGAGGGUAAGUGGAAUUUCCUGUGUAGCGGUGAAAUGCGUAGAUAUAGGAAGGAACACCAGUGGCGAAGGCGGCUACCUGGACCAACACUGACACUGAGGUGCGAAAGCGUGGGGAGCAAACAGGAUUAGAUACCCCUGGUAGUCCACGCCGUAAACGAUGUCUACUAGCCGUUGGGGAUCUUGAAUCUUUAGUGGCGCAGCUAACGCACUAAGUAGACCGCCUGGGGAGUACGGCCGCAAGGUUAAAACUCAAAUGAAUUGACGGGGGCCCGCACAAGCGGUGGAGCAUGUGGUUUAAUUCGACGCAACGCGAAGAACCUUACCUGGCCUUGACAUCCUGCGAACUUUCUAGAGAUAGAUUGGUGCCUUCGGGAACGCAGUGACAGGUGCUGCAUGGCCGUCGUCAGCUCGUGUCGUGAGAUGUUGGGUUAAGUCCCGUAACGAGCGCAACCCCUAUCCCUAGUUGCUAGCAGUUCGGCUGAGAACUCUAGGGAGACUGCCGGUGACAAACCGGGGAAGGUGGGGAUGACGUCAGGUCAUCAUGGCCCUUACGGCCAGGGCUACACACGUGCUACAAUGGCGCGCACAGAGGGCUGCAAACCCGCGAGGGGGAGCUAAUCUCACAAAACGCGUCGUAGUCCGGAUCGCAGUCUGCAACUCGACUGCGUGAAGUCGGAAUCGCUAGUAAUCGCAAAUCAGAAUGUUGCGGUGAAUACGUUCCCGGGCCUUGUACACACCGCCCGUCACACCAUGGGAGUGGA